rnacentral:rRNA from 1 species
UACGUAGGGGGCAAGCGUUAUCCGGAUUUACUGGGUGUAAAGGGAGCGUAGACGGCGAUGCAAGUCUGAAGUGAAAGCCCGGGGCUCAACCCCGGGACUGCUUUGGAAACUGUAUGGCUGGAGUGCUGGAGAGGCAAGCGGAAUUCCUGGUGUAGCGGUGAAAUGCGUAGAUAUCAGGAGGAACGCCGGUGGCGAAGGCGGCCUGCUGGACUGCGACUGACGUUGAGGCCCGAAAGCGUGGGGAGCAAACAGG